rnacentral:rRNA from 1 species
CCUACGGGAGGCAGCAGUGGGGAAUAUUGCACAAUGGACGGAAGUCUGAUGCAGCGACGCCGCGUGAGUGAAGAAGUAACUCGGUAUGUAAAGCUCUAUCAGCAGGGAAGAAAGUGACGGUACCUGAAAAAGAAGCUCCGGCUAAAUACGUUCAAGCAGCCGCGGUAAUACGGAGGGAGCCAGCGUUAUCCGGAUUUACUGGGGGUAAAGGGAGAGUAGGUGGCAGAGCAAGUCCGAAGUGAAAACCCAAAGCUCAACAAUGGGAAUGGUGUAGAAACUGGGCAGCUGGAGUGCAGGAGAGGUAGGUGGAAUUCGUGGUGUAGCGGUGAAAUGCGUAGAUAUUAGGAAGAACACCGGUGGCGAAGGCGGCUUGCUGGACUGUAACUGACGCUGAGGCUCGAAAGCGUGGGGAUCAAACAGGAUUAGAUACCCCAGUAGUC